UACCAGCACCCCGAGUGGUCGGGACGUUUAUUGGGCCUAAAGCAUCCGUAGCCGGUUCUGCAAGUCUUCCGUUAAAUCCACCUGCUUAACAGAUGGGCCGCGGAAGAUACUAUAGAGCUAGGAGGCGGGAGAGGCAAGCGGUACUCGAUGGGUAGGGGUAAAAUCCGUUGAUCCAUUGAAGACCACCAGUGGCGAAGGCGGCUUGCCAGAACGCGCUCGACGGUGAGGGAUGAAAACUGGGGGAGCAAACCGG
rnacentral:rRNA from 1 species